rnacentral:rRNA from 1 species
UACAGAGGGUGCGAGCGUUAAUCGGAAUUACUGGGCGUAAAGCGCACGUAGUGGCGACGUAAGUCGGGUGUGAAAGCCCCGGGCUCAACCUGGGAAUUGCAUUCGAGACUGCAUUGCUGGAGUACGGAAGAGGAAGGCGGAAUUCCCGGUGUAGCGGUGAAAUGCGUAGAUAUCGGGAGGAACAUCAGUGGCGAAGGCGGCCUUCUGGUCCAGUACUGACACUCAAGUGCGAAAGCGUGGGAGCAAA